CAUGGUCAGGAGGAGGUCUGAGGAUCUCCAGGGAUUCACAUCUCCUUUUUCCCCCCAAAGUCUCUGAAAAGUCUCACAUUACAUAUCGAUCAGCUCAAUGAUUGGCGUUGACCUGUUGUUCUGAUCUUAACACCUCAAGCAGCCACUUUCACACAACCCCCGCUCCAGCACAUUCCUCAAAACCCCCCUCUUUCACUCAAUGCAUGAAAUGACAACACUCCUUGGUUCAAAACUUCCUUCAAAUAAAUAUACUGUGACACAUAAUAUCCAUAAUUAGGAGCGCUUUAAAACUUAAAUUCCUCACAAUUCCCCCCCUUACUCACUUUUCAAAGUGAGUAUAUUAAACAGUUGUAUCUAUCAAUGCAUCAUCUACUCAUAACUGGUUGUCCUGUAUAUUUGUCUCACUAAGUGUCAAUUAAAGUUGACGCGUGUUUCUGGUCCUAUGUACAUAGCUCACACCGACACCGCUCGUAGGUGAAAGCAAUAUGUGAUUUAUUGAUCCAAUUUCUCUCGUACAAGUUAGUGAAACAACUUCCUGUCUUCCUAAAGGUACGCCAAUUACCUCGACAAAGUUUAAGGAUCCACAGGUUAUCCACGAAUUGUUCCACAACAUAAUCCACAUAGCACGUUCCAUAUAACACGGUCGGAAAACUGUGCGGCUCCAUUCUGCUCUAGAUAUUACUAACAACCGUAACUAACUGUCGCAAAGUGUCCUUAAAGUGAUGGAAGUCUGUCACUUACGUGUAUUUCAUACCAUAACAAAUGAUAACAACAUCCUUGUAACAUUCAAAGUAGAAACAGAUGUGAUUAAAGUUAAACAUGUAAAUAUUUAAAUGCAAAUUGAAUUUGGCUCUUACAGGACCUUCGCCCCGCUCAGAAGCCAUCUUGCAAAUUUGUCAGUUUUUCGCUUUUUCAAGUAAAUUCAUGACUUAAAUCUUGGACAUUCUUCAUUUCGUUAGUUUGUUUUUCCCUACAUUGUCCUAACACGCUGUUGUACAUCUCUGUCGAACACAUUUUGUUGUCUCCCUCAGUACCGUAGUGUGCUGUCCAGCCUGUGUGUGGUUCUAUCAUUACAUCAUGGUCAUCGUAACGGGAGGCGUGGCAGUCCUCGCAGCUUUGGCACUCUGCUCCAUCCUCAUCUGGCCAAUCAGGAUCAGACCACGUGGUCUGCCACUCAUCUCUGAGGAUGAAUCCACAGUCAACUAACACCACCCUCCCCCAAAUUUCCCUACAACUGACACCUCAUCAGCACAACAGGGAAACAACUCUGGAGCGUUCAGCUGGAAGAACUCUCCCUUUAGUUUCUCUAUAAGAUUCUUCUUCUUUGGUUUUAGAGGUACCAGGGUAACUCCUGACUGACUGCUGGACUGGUGCACUUUGACCCUGAUAUUACAGGAGUAAACGGGGAAUCCACAGGAGCUGAGAAGAGACAUUGUAGUUCUAGCCAUUUUCAACAUAGGUCCUGUUUUCCCAAAAAAUGUUUCAUCUCAGUCUGGUAAUUAAAAUAAAUCUCCAAAAAGCUGAACUGGGAUAACUUGUGCUUGUGCCUCAUUGUGUUGGAUCAGUUAGACUCGUAUUCGGGAGGCUUCUCACUCAUGGAUCAAAUUAUUAUGAUGUGAUAUUAUUUCUAUUUUUAUUUGUUUUCUUGGUACAUUGUUUUACUUAGUUACAGACCAAAUGGAAUAUGGUUUUAAAGAUUAUUUUUAUAAUCAAAUAUAAAAUCACUUUAAAAGGGAUAAACCCUAAAAUAUGUGUAUUCAUACAAUAUAAUGUGAGGGAAUUCUACUGGUAAAUGAUCCGAACUGGCACUGGUGUUGAAGUCUUGUUCGACCGAUGGUGCCAAAGCGCUCUGUGACCUGCGUGAUAAUCAGUCAUCUCAGUGAUAACUUUGUUUUUAUUUCCUUUUUAUGUCUUUGUUGCUGCGGUGACUUCUCUGAUUCUCUGGUGUUUUGUGAAGAGAUGCUCAUUAAACAGAUUUCAUGAGGUGCAGCUGGAAA